rnacentral:tRNA from 1 species
GGAUGAGUGGUCGAGCGGUUUAUGGCACCAGUUUUGAAAACUGGCGUAGUUAAUAGCUACCGUGGGUUCAAAUCCCACCUUAUCCU